UCUCUAGCAAACGCGUUUUAAAAAUUGGAGAGGGAAUGACCAUGAAGUGAACGUUCACUCGUCUCCAAGCACAAGUGGCCUCUCGACUAACUCUGCGCUGGUAUGUUCUUUUCAAUGCUGCACUAGUUGUCUAAACAUCCUCAAUGGUUUGACAAAAAAUAUUCUUCUGAAUGAAUUUGGAUCAAAUCGGAAUAACUGGACUGUGGAGGAUCUUCAAAUUUAUUGUCUUUUGGGAUGUAAUCUUUUAGAGGAAUUGUACUUACUGUAUGAAUUCCUUUGAUUGAGCUGUCCUCAACGUUCGGAGCCUCAGUUAAAAGUUAUAGGGCCCCUUUGUUUUAACAAUAUUACUGGAGUUGGAUUAUUUAGAACACUGGUUGGUGAAAGGUACUGCAUGUCUUCUUCCAUACUGUACGGGCUAUGACUCAAUUCAGAUGUGACACCUUACCAGAAAUGAAUACGACAGCAUGGACAUGAGGACAUGUCAUAUGAACAUGACUUGAUCAUAGUGUGUUUAGUUGGCUAGAACAUAGAGACCAGAGGUGGAGGCUAAACUAAAAAAACUCGAUCAAAUUGCUCAAUUCAAGUCUAGAUCAGUUCAGCUGGUUGUAUAUUCUUGCAGUCGACCACAAUUGGUCGCCUUUGGUUUGGGUGUGUUCGCUUAUCGUUUCAAUUGAGUUGACCACGAGCUAGUACAUCCCUGCCUCGAAGUUGGAUUGAGCUACAUCUUCAUAGUCCAUCCUCCAUACGUUCAAAAGCAAAGGUGCGACCACCACUGAAGGAUGAAUGAAAGCGGAGAACUAUGGUACGAGAUCACUUUACUAAAUGUCUUAUUGUAGUGAAGAUAAACCUAAAGCCAAAUGUAAUUCCUGUGUCACUAUGUACGCAUGUCAUACAAAUAAGAACGGGACAAAGACAAUGAGGUUUCAUAUCAGGAGUUAUUGAAAUAAAAGUCUUGUUGACAUUAUAAGAAUGUUCGAUGUGCAACUUUUAGUGUAGAGAAUGCUACGAAAUAUCUAGUUAUUGGGAGAACGUUAGGUGUGCAAUUGGGGUGAAUUGAUCAUUCUAGAAAGUUUGUAGAGAGGACCAUCACUUUAUUGGAAUCUAAAUUUGUUCUCCUUCUCGAA